rnacentral:misc_RNA from 1 species
GAUGAAGAACGCAGUAAAAUGCGAUAAGUAAUGUGAAUUGCAGAAUUCAGUGAAUCAUCGAAUCUUUGAACGCACAUUGCGCCCGCCAGUAUUCUGGCGGGCAUGCCUGUUCGAGCGUCAUUUCAACCAUCAAGCCCCAGGCUUGUGUUGGGGACCUGCGGCUGCCGCAGGCCCUGAAAACCAGUGGCGGGCUCGCUGUCACACCGGGCGUAGUAGAUUUUAUCUCGCUCAGGGCGUGCUGCGGGUUCCGGCCGUUAAAAAGCCUUUUUUACCCAAGGUUGACCUCGGAUCAGGUAGGAAGACCCGCUGAACUUAAGCAUAUCAAUAAGCGGAGGA